UACGGAGGAUGCAAGCGUUAUCCGGAAUGAUUGGGCGUAAAGCGUCCGCAGGUGGCUGUGUAAGUCUGCUGUUAAAUAGUGAGGCUCAACCUCACAAAGGCAGUGGAAACUACACGGCUAGAGUGCGUUCGGGGCAGAGGGAAUUCCUGGUGUAGCGGUGAAAUGCGUAGAGAUCAGGAAGAACACCGGUGGCGAAAGCGCUCUGCUAGGCCGCAACUGACACUGAGGGACGAAAGCUAGGGGAGCGAAUGGG
rnacentral:rRNA from 1 species